rnacentral:rRNA from 1 species
GACGAACGCUGGCGGCGUGCUUAACACAUGCAAGUCGAACGGAAAGGCCCUGCUUGCAGGGUACUCGAGUGGCGAACGGGUGAGUAACACGUGGGUGAUCUGCCCUGCACUUCGGGAUAAGCCUGGGAAACUGGGUCUAAUACCGGAUAGGAGCCAUUUUUAGUGUGAUGGUUGGAAAGUUUUUUUCGGUGUAGGAUGAGCUCGCGGCCUAUCAGCUUGUUGGUGGGGUAAUGGCCUACCAAGGCGGCGACGGGUAGCCGGCCUGAGAGGGUGGACGGCCACAGUGAGACUGAGAUACGGCCCAGACUCCUACGGGAGGCAGCGGUGGGGAAUAUUGCUCAAUGGGCGCAGGCCUGAUGCAGCGACGCCGCGGGGGGGAUGGCGGCCUUCGGGUUGUAAACUCCUUUCGCUAGGGACGGAGCUUUUUGUGACGGUACCUAGAUAAGAAGCACCGGCUAACUACGUG